rnacentral:rRNA from 1 species
GACGAACGCUGGCGGCGUGCUUAACACAUGCAAGUCGAACGCUGAAGCUUGGUGCUUGCACUGGGUGGAUGAGUGGCGAACGGGUGAGUAAUACGUGAGUAACCUGCCCUUGACUCUGGGAUAAGCCUGGGAAACUGGGUCUAAUACUGGAUACGACAUGCCACUGCAUGGUGGUGUGUGGAAAGGGUUUUACUGGUUUUGGAUGGGCUCACGGCCUAUCAGCUUGUUGGUGGGGUAAUGGCCUACCAAGGCGACGACGGGUAGCCGGCCUGAGAGGGUGACCGGCCACACUGGGACUGAGACACGGCCCAGACUCCUACGGGAGGCAGCAGUGGGGAAUAUUGCACAAUGGGCGGAAGCCUGAUGCAGCGACGCCGCGUGAGGGAUGACGGCCUUCGGGUUGUAAACCUCUUUCAGCACGGAAGAAGCGAGAGUGACGGUACGUGCAGAAGAAGCGCCGGCUAACUACG